rnacentral:rRNA from 1 species
UACGUAGGGUGCGAGCGUUGUCCGGAAUUAUUGGGCGUAAAGAGCUUGUAGGCGGUUUGUCGCGUCUGCUGUGAAAAUCCGGGGCUCAACCCCGGACUUGCAGUGGGUACGGGCAGACUGGAGUGUGGUAGGGGAGACUGGAAUUCCUGGUGUAGCGGUGGAAUGCGCAGAUAUCAGGAGGAACACCGGUGGCGAAGGCGGGUCUCUGGGCCGAUACUGACGCUGAGACGCGAAAGCCAGGGGAGCGAACGGG